CAGCCGCCGCGGUAAUAGGGAGGGUGCGAGCGUUAAUCGGAACUACUGGGCGUAAAGCGUACGCAGGCGGUUUGUUAAGUCAGAUGUGAAAUCCCCGAGCUUAACUCGGGAACUGCAUUUGAAACUGGCAGGCUAGAGUCUCGUAGAGGGGGGUAGAAUUCCAGGUGUAGCGGUGAAAUGCGUAGAGAUCUGGAGGAAUACCGGUGGCGAAGGCGGCCCCCUGGACGAAGACUGACGCUCAGGUACGAAAGCGUGGGGAGCAAACAGGAUUAGAUACCCCAGUAGUCCCUGUCUCUUAUAC
rnacentral:rRNA from 1 species